CUACGGGUUGCUGCAGUCGAGGAUUUUUCUCAAUGGGGGCAACCCUGAAGGAGCGACGCCGCGUGGAGGAUGAAGGGCUUCGGCUCGUAAACUCCUGUCACCGACGAACAAGGCAUCCGGAUUAAUAAAUCGGAUGCUUGAUGGUAGUCGGAGAGGAAGGGGCGGCUAACUCUGUGCCAGCAGCCGCGGUGAUACAGAGGCCCCAAGCGUUGUUCGGAUUUACUGGGCGUAAAGGGUGUGUAGGGGGUCGGGUAAGUUUGACGUGAAAUCCCGUUGCUCAACAACGGAACUGCGUCGAAUACUGCGCGGCUUGAGGUUCGGAGAUGAGGGCGGAAUUCUCGGUGUAGCGGUGAAAUGCGUAGAUAUCGAGAGGAACGCCGAUAGCGAAAGCAGCCCUCAAGACGAAAUCUGACCCUGAAACACGAAGGCUAGGGGAGCAAACGGGAUUAGAUACCCCUGUAGUC
rnacentral:rRNA from 1 species